GAGAAGGGAAGGAAGAAGAGGAAGGAGAAAGGGGGAAGGAAGAAGCAGGGAGGGGUCCUCAAGGAGCUAUGUGAGUUAGGUAAGUCAUAGGGGAAGUCAGAACUGAAGGGGAAGUCACACUGUGACCUGGAGGCUUUAGUCUCUUCGGCAGGAAUAUUUCACUUGUCUUCUUGAAGACUUGAUGGCAUCAUUGUACAGUAGCUGAUUGGGAAGUUCUGCUCUUCAAGUCAGUUGCUUCCUCGGGAUGGGGAGAUGGGAAAAUGAUCAUUUCAGGAACUGUGAAGUGUUAAAGAGAAAGUAUAUUAGAACUAUUAUGAAGUCACAGGAGAAGCCAUAUGAGUUGUCAGUGGUUGCUGUCUUUGCUACCCUUUCUUAAUGAUGCUGGCUCCCAUAUCUCAGCUUCAACUAGAGUCCUUUCAUAGAAUUGUCCCUCUCCCUCUCCCUCCCCCUCCCUCCCCCUCCCCCUCCCCCUCUCCCCACGGUCUCCCUCUCCCUCUCUUUCCACGGUCUCCCUCUGAUGCCAAGAUGAAGCUGGACUGUACUGCUGCCUUCUCGGCUCACUGCAACCUCCCUGCCUGAUUCUCCUGCCUCAGCCUGCCCAGUGCCUGGGAUUGCAGGCGCGUGCCGCCACACCUGACUGGUUUUCGUAUUUUUUUGGUGGAGACGGGGUUUCGCUGUGUUGGCCUGCCUGGUCUCCAGCUCCUAACCGCGAGUGAUCUGCCAGCCUCGGCCUCCUGAGGUGCUGGGAUUGCAGACGGAGUCUCUCAUUCACUCAGUGCUCAAUGUUGCCCAGGCUGGAGUGCAGUGGCGUGAUCUCGGCUCGCUACAACCUCCACCUCUCAGCUGCCUGCCUUGGCCUCCCAAAGUGCCGAGAUUGCAGCCUCUGCCCGGCCGCCACCCCGUCUGGGAAGUGGGGAGCGUCUCCCUGGCCGCCCAUCUUCUGGGAUGUGAGGAGCCCCUCUGCCCGGCUGCCCAGUCUGGGAAGUGAGGAGUGCCUCUUCCCGGCCGCCAUCCCGUCUAGGAAGUGAGGAAUGUCUCUGCCCGGCCACCCAUCAUCUGGGAUGUGAGGAGCGCCUCUGCCCGGCCACGACCCUGUCUGGGAGGUGAGGAGCAUCUCUGCCCGGCAGCCGCCCCGUCUGGGAAGUCAGGAGUGUCUCCGCCCGGCAGCGCCCAGUCUGGGAGGUGGGGGGCAGCCCCCACCUGGCCAGCCGCCCCGUCCGGGAGGGAGGUGGGGGCACCUCCGCCUGGCCGCCGCCCCGUCCGGGAGGUGGGGGGCGCCUCUGCCCGGCCGCCCCUUCUGGGAAGUGAGGAGCCCCUUUGCCCGGCUGCCACCCCGUCUGGGAGGUGUACCCAACAGCUCAUUGAGAACGGGCCAUGAUGACGAUGGCGGUUUUGUCGAAUAGAAAAGGGGGAAAUGUGGGGAAAAGAUAGAGAAAUCAGAUUGUUGCUGUGUCUGUGUAGAAAGAAGUAGACAUAGGAGACUCCAUUUUGUUCUGUACUAAGAAAAAUUCUUCUGCCUUGGGAUGCUGUUAAUCUAUGACCUUACCCCCAACCCUGUGCUCUCUGAAACAUGUGCUGUGUCCACUCAGGGUUGGAUGGAUUAAG
rnacentral:lncRNA from 10 species